GAUGAACGCUGGCGGCGUGCCUAAUACAUGCAAGUCGAGCGAACGGACGAGAAGCUUGCUUCUCUGAUGUUAGCGGCGGACGGGUGAGUAAUACGUGGAUAACCUACCUAUAAGACUGGGAUAACUUCGGGAAACCGGAGCUAAUACCGGAUAAUAUUUUGAACCGCAUGGUUCAAAAGUGAAAGACGGUCUUGCUGUCACUUAUAGAUGGAUCCGCGCUGCAUUAGCUAGUUGGUAAGGUAACGGCUUACCAAGGCAACGAUGCAUAGCCGACCUGAGAGGGUGAUCGGCCACACUGGAACUGAGACACCGUCCAGACUCCUACGGCAGGCAGCAGUAGGGAAUCUGCCGCAAUGCGCCAAAACCUGACAGAGCAACGCCGCGUGAGAGAUGAGGGUCUUCCGAUCGUAAAACUCUGUUAUUAGGGAAGAACAUAUGUGUAAGUAACUGUGCACAUCUUGACGUUACCUAAUCAGAAAGCCCCGGCUAACUACGUG
rnacentral:rRNA from 1 species